rnacentral:lncRNA from 1 species
GGGGUGUGGUGGUCACCUGCCUGAAGAUCCUAUUAUUCUGUUCAAGCCACACGCUCCAACAGGUGCUUGAGAACAAAGAGUUCCCAUGCCGUUUUUUCUCAUUUAUCUUUGAAUUUCUUCCUCCACACAUUCCAAUAAUUUUCAAUAGAUUCUGACAUGGUGGUUGAUCAGACCUUGCAUAAGAUUUGUUGCCACACCAUCAUUGUAUACUUAUACAUUAGAAGAAUAUGGUCAACUGUUUCAUUUUCUUCACCAU